rnacentral:rRNA from 1 species
UUCGAUUCCGGAGAGGGAGCCUGAGAAACGGCUACCACAUCUAAGGAAGGCAGCAGGCGCGCAAAUUACCCAAUCCUAAUACAGGGAGGUAGUGACAAGAAAUAACAAUACAGAACCUUACGGUUUUGUAAUUGGAAUGAGUUAAGUAUAAACCCCUUUACAAGUAUCAAUUGGAGGGCAAGUCUGGUGCCAGCAGCCGCGGUAAUUCCAGCUCCAAUAGCGUAUAUUAAAGUUGUUGCAGUUAAAAAGCUCGUAGUGAAUCUUCUGUUAAUUAAUAUAUAUAAAAUCACGAUUUUAAUAUAAUAUUAACAUAAUUCAUAUUACAAUAUAGUAUAUGAAACUUUACUUUGAGAAAAUUAGAGUGCUUAAAGCAGGCUAUAGCCUUGAAUACUCCAGCAUGGAAUAAUAUUAAGGAUUUUUAUUCUUCUUAUUGGUUCUAAGAUAAGAAAGAUGAUUAAUAGGGACAGUUGGGGGCAUUUGUAUUUAACAGUCAGAGGUGAAAUUCUUAGAUUUGU